ACUGCUACUCUUGCAGAGAAUGAUUCCGUAAGAAAAUACUUACGUCUACAUCGAAAGUAACAACAGUUGACAUCGCAAAUAUCAUCUGUAUCACUUUCCGAAAGAAGACAAUCUCCUUCAUCAAGAUUGAAUUUGAGAAGUUGGCAAUCUCUUCCUAACAUAUUAUACCUGCGACUCUUUAAGAAGCAUGGAUGUCCGUGCCGAUCAUUGUUUACCCAAAAUCAUCAAACAAAAUCGUACAAAAAAUACGAAUAGAAGAGAAAUCAUACUGUAUCCGAACAACCAAUAAAUUUAUUACAAAAUAAAAGAAAAAGAGAAGAUGAACAAGAAAGACAGCCCGUUAUCCAAAAACAACUGAUCAGAAAAGAAGGACAAAAGCUAGAAGAGCGACAUCUAUGCAACCAGUACCGCUACCAACAAUAACAAGAGGCAGAUGAAGGAGGGAUAAAAUAAUAAGAAGAAGAAAAUGAAUUAUUUGGAAAUACACCAAUACUAGACUAUACAAGAGUACCGUUAAGAUUCGCUGAAAAUGACGAUUCGAUUGAACGACUAGCAAUUCAAUCCCAGACAAGCUGCGACGUUCAUAUUAAGGAAAGCCU